rnacentral:lncRNA from 10 species
AAAACGGACUAAUACACAGUGCUUUGUGCUUGGAAAACGGCAUGAAGGAGAUGGAGGUAAUGUGCGAUGACUGAGAGAAUUUGUAGAACAGCAAAAACCACUGAAAUGCCAUUCUUCAAUAGAGGCACCAGGAUCUCCAGGUGUGCCUAAAGAAUCUUGGGGAUGUGUCUUCUGAAGCUAAAGAGACCCCUAAGCAUCCUGCAAAGAUACCAGUGCACAACAAUUUGGGACAUAGCUUAAGCUUUCUGCUCGAUGCUGGCGACAAAGAGGAGAAAGACAACUUCUACUCUCAGACAACUUAGUCUGCUUUAGGAGUUACAAACACAGACAAUUUCAACACUGGAUGAAAAUGAUGGGACAAAGGUAAAAGGAGAGAGGAAUGCAUCUCAGCUGAGUUUCAGAAAAAAAAAAAGUUUUGAAGAGAUCUCAAUGUUAGGUAAGCCAACAAGGCCUGCAAAAGUCACCUAGAUCAUGAAAUUGACUAUGUCAGGGGAGGCAAUUCGUCACAAUCGUGUUUGAAAAUGAGGAUAAGCAUGGAGAGCCAAUGAUUACAUUUCACAAUGUCCUUCAUGGGUAUGUGAAUAUGAUAGUAGGAAUCUUAGCUCUUCACUUAAAGAAAGAAGCAUUAAAAUUUGGAAUUUUAGAGAGUGAGAUGAUAAAAAGAUACGUGGUAUGGUAUUACCACCUUCUUGGAAUUUCUGAAAAACCAUGUUCAGGACCCAGACAUAGAUAACUGACUCCUUCAUUUGAAUUUUAGGUAGGUACUACCUGUGUUAUUGUGUUUAGUUUCUGAGAUAAAUUGAUAAGCAUUCAGAAGUGCCUGGUGAUAUGAGUUGACUUCUAUAAAAAAUGUGAUGCUUGAGGUAAUCAUGUUUUCUGUUUUGUCCCAUGAAAGUAACAGAAUUUCUAGAAAAUU